rnacentral:rRNA from 1 species
CCUACGGGAGGCAGCAGUGGGGAAUAUUGCUCAAUGGGCGAAAGCCUGAAGCAGCGACGCCGCGUGAAGGAUGAAGGUUUUCGGAUUGUAAACCUCUUUUGGUAGGGAAGAUAAUUACGGUAUCUAAACAGCAUUGCAUGGCCAUCACCGUGAAAGCAGCCGCGGGAAUACGGCGGGUGUAAGCGUUAUUCGGAAUUACUGGGCGUAAAGGGCGCGUAGGCGGGAUAGCAAGUCAGGUGUGAAAUCUUUUGGCUCAACCAUAGAACUGCAUUUGAAACUGUCAUACUGGAGUAUGUGAGAGGUAAGUGGAAUUCGUGGUGUAGGAGUGAAAUCCGUAGAUAUCAAGAGGAACACCGAUUGCGAAGGCGACCUGCUGGAACAUAACUGACGCUGAUGCGCGAAAGCGUGGGUAGCAAACAGGAUUAGAUACCCCGGUAGUC